rnacentral:tRNA from 1 species
GCAUCAGUGGUUUAGUGGUAAAAUCCAUCGUUGCCAUCAUACAACAUCGAUGGGCCCCGCGUUCGAUUCGCGGCUGAUGCA